rnacentral:rRNA from 1 species
AGAGUUUGAUCAUGGCUCAGAGCGAACGCUGGCGGCAGGCCUAAUACAUGCAAGUCGAGCGGGUCCUUCGGGAUUAGCGGCGGACGGGUGAGUAACGCGUGGGAACGUGCCCUUUGGUACGGAACAACUGAGGGAAACUUCAGCUAAUACCGUAUGUGCCCUUCGGGGAAAGAUUUAUCGCCAUUGGAGCGGCCCGCGUUGGAUUAGGUAGUUGGUGUGGUAAAGGCUCACCAAGCCUACGAUCCAUAGCUGGUCUGAGAGGAUGACCAGCCACACUGGGACUGAGACACGGCCCAGACUCCUACGGGAGGCAGCAGUAGGGAAUCUUGCGCAAUGGGCGAAAGCCUGACGCAGCCAGGCCGCGUGAAUGAUGAAGGUCUUAGGAUUGUAAAAUUCUUUCACCGGGGACGAUAAUGACGGUACCCGGAGAAGAAGCCCUGGCUAACUUCGUG